rnacentral:lncRNA from 1 species
GACGGUCCACGCUUUUUCGCAUUUUUUAAUUUCUGAUUAUAUUUUCUUUUAUUUCUUUUAAUUCCAUUUCAUUCUAAAAAUUCAUAUCUCCUUCAUUAAUGGUCCAAAAAAAUAUGAGACCAAUUGCGUUUUUCUUCUUUUAAUUUCUAGUUUCUAAAAAUGAUUUUUUAUAUUUUUUAUUUUACCAUUUGUUAGUUUUUUAGGAAUUUUUUCUUUUCUGCUUAUUUUUAAUUCAUUUUAAAUAGUUUUUGAUAUUCAAA